ACCACUUGGUUCUCUGUCACAUAUUCUAAUCAUAUGGUUUUAUGUCACAGAAAUAAAAGCUGAGACUUGCAAGCUGCAUUUUUUUGGAAUGUAAAGAGAACACACAAGGGA
rnacentral:miRNA from 1 species